rnacentral:misc_RNA from 1 species
GAUGAAGAACGUAGCGAAAUGCCAUACGUAAUGUGAAUUGCAAAUUCAGUGAAUCAUCGAGUCUUUGAACGCACAUUGCGCCCCCUGGUAUUCCGGGGGGCAUGCCUGUCCGAGCGUCAUUGCUGCCCUCAAGCACGGCUUGUGUGUUGGGCCCCGUCCUCCGAUCCCGGGGGACGGGCCCGAAAGGCAGCGGCGGCACCGCGUCCGGUCCUCGAGCGUAUGGGGCUUUGUCACCCGCUCUGUAGGCCCGGCCGGCGCUUGCCGAUCAACCCAAAUUUUUAUCCAGGUUGACCUCGGAUCAGGUAGGGAUACCCGCUGAACUUAAGCAUAUCAAUAAGCGGAGGA